rnacentral:tRNA from 1 species
GAGGGUACAGCUCAGGGGUAAAGUGCAUGCUUAGCAUGCAUGAGGUCCUGAGUUCAAUCCCCAGUACCUCCA